UACAGAGGGGGCAAGCGUUAUUCGGAAUUAUUGAGCGUAAAGGGCGCGUAGGCGGCUUGGCAAGUGGAUGGUGAAAUCCCUCGGCUUAACCGAGGAACUGCCGUCCAAACUGCUUUGCUUGAGACCGGGAGAGGUGAGUGGAAUUCCCAGUGUAGCGGUGAAAUGCGUAGAUAUUGAGAGGAACACCAGUGGCGAAGGCGGCUCACUGGACCGGUACUGACGCUGAGGCGCGAAAGCGUGGGGAGCAAACGGG
rnacentral:rRNA from 1 species